GACGGAGGAUGCAAGUGUUAUCCGGAAUCACUGGGCGUAAAGCGUUUGUAGGCGGUUUAAUAAGUCAACUGUUAAAUCUUGAGGCUCAACCUCAAAAUCGCAGUCGAAACUAUUAGGCUAGAGUAUAGUAGGGGUAAAGGGAAUUUCCAGUGGAGCGGUGAAAUGCGUAGAGAUUGGAAAGAACACCGAUGGCGAAGGCACUUUACUGGGCUAUUACUAACACUCAGAGACGAAAGCUAGGGUAGCAAAUGGG
rnacentral:rRNA from 1 species